rnacentral:rRNA from 1 species
CCGGCGACCGGCGCACGGGUGAGUAACACGUAUGGAACCUGCCCGCAGCAGGGGGAUAAGCGGAAGAAAUUCCGUCUAAUACCGCGUAACAACGUUGGGAGGCAUCUCCCGAUGUUUAAAGAUUUAUCGGCUGCGGAUGGCCAUGCGGCGCAUUAGCUAGACGGCGGGGUAACGGCCCACCGUGGCGACGAUGCGUAGGGGUUCUGAGAGGAAGGUCCCCCACACUGGUACUGAGACACGGCCCAAACUCCUACGGGAGGCAGCAG